rnacentral:rRNA from 1 species
UGUGGCGCACGGGUGCGUAACACGUAUGCAACCUACCUUAUACUGAGGGAUAGCCUUUCGAAAGGGAGAUUAAUACCUCAUAACACAUUGAACUGGCAUCAGUUUAUUGUUAAAGAUUUAUUGGUAUAAGAUGGGCAUGCGUCCAAUUAGUUAGUUGGCGAGGUAACGGCUCACCAAGACGAUGAUUGGUAGGGGAACUGAGAGGUUAAUCCCCCACACUGGCACUGAGAUACGGGCCAGACUCCUACGGGAGGCAGCAGUAGGGAAUAUUGGGCAAUGGAGGCAACUCUGACCCAGCCAUGCCGCGUGCAGGAAGAAGGCGUUAUGCGUUGUAAACUGCUUUUAUAUAGGAAGAAAUAGACCUUGCGAGGUAAGUUGACGGUACUAUAUGAAUAAGCACCGGCUAACUCCGUGCCAGCAGCCGCGGUAAUACGGAGGGUGCAAGCGUUGUCCGGAUUUAUUGGGUUUAAAGGGUGCGUAGGCGGUUUAUUAAGUCAGUGGUGAAAGACGGUCGCUCAACGAUUGCAGUGCCAUUGAUACUGGUAGACUUGAGUGGGAUUGAGGUAGCUGGAAUGGAUAGUGUAGCGGUGAAAUGCAUAGAUAUUAUCCAGAGCACCAAUUGCGUACGCAAGUUACUAAGUCUCAACUGACGCUGAGGCACGAAAGUGUGGGUAUCAAACAGGAUUAGAUACCCUGGUAGUCCACACUGUAAACGAUGAUAACUAACUGUUGGCUUUCGAGUCAGCGGUA